rnacentral:rRNA from 1 species
UUCCUACGGGAGGCAGCAGUAGGGAAUCUUCCGCAAUGGACGAAAGUCUGACGGAGCAACGCCGCGUGAGUGAUGAAGGUUUUCGGAUCGUAAAGCUCUGUUGUUAGGGAAGAACAAGUGCCGUUCAAAUAGGGCGGCACCUUGACGGUACCUAACCAGAAAGCCACGGCUAACUACGUGCCAGCAGCCGCGGUAAUACGUAGGUGGCAAGCGUUGUCCGGAAUUAUUGGGCGUAAAGGGCUCGCAGGCGGUUUCUUAAGUCUGAUGUGAAAGCCCCCGGCUCAACCGGGGAGGGUCAUUGGAAACUGGGGAACUUGAGUGCAGAAGAGGAGAGUGGAAUUCCACGUGUAGCGGUGAAAUGCGUAGAGAUGUGGAGGAACACCAGUGGCGAAGGCGACUCUCUGGUCUGUAACUGACGCUGAGGAGCGAAAGCGUGGGGAGCGAACAGGAUUAGAUACCCUGGUA